GACGAACGCUGGCGGCGUGCUUAACACAUGCAAGUCGAGCGGUAAGGCCCUUUCGGGGGUACACGAGCGGCGAACGGGUGAGUAACACGUGGGUGACCUGCCCUCAGCUCUGGGAUAAGCCUGGGAAACCGGGUCUAAUACCGGAUAUGACUCCAUGACGCAUGUUGUGGGGUGGAAAGCCUUGUGCGGCUGAGGAUGGGCCCGCGGCCUAUCAGCUUGUUGGUGGGGUGANGGCCUACCAAGGCGACGACGGGUAGCCGGCCUGAGAGGGCGACCGGCCACACUGGGACUGAGACACGGCCCAGACUCCUACGGGAGGCAGCAGUGGGGAAUCUUGCGCAAUGGGCGAAAGCCUGACGCAGCGACGCCGCGUGAGGGAUGAAUGCCUUCGGGUUGUAAACCCCUUUCAGCAGGGACGAAAUUGACGUACCUGCAGAAGAAGCCCCGGCCAACUACGUGCCAGCCGCCGCUGU
rnacentral:rRNA from 1 species